rnacentral:rRNA from 1 species
UACGAAGGGAGCUAGCGUUGUUCGGAAUUACUGGGCGUAAAGGGCUCGUAGGCGGCCAACUAAGUCAGACGUGAAAUCCCUCGGCUUAACCGGGGAACUGCGUCUGAUACUGGAUGGCUUGAAUCCGGGAGAGGGAUGCGGAAUUCCAGGUGUAGCGGUGAAAUGCGUAGAUAUCUGGAGGAACACCGGAGGCGAAGGCGAAUCACUGGACCGCUUCUGACGCUGAGGCGCGAAAGCUAGGGGAGCAAACAGG